rnacentral:rRNA from 1 species
AUGAGUGUGUUUCAGUUGCCCUACUCGGUUUGUUAUGAUAUAACUCCCCUGAUGUGACAAUAUUGGUGAGAUGUAGAGAAGGGGAAGAUAAAGAUGUCAUGAUUAAGUUGGGAUAAGAUGAUUUUACCAAAAUCAAAAGCAAGCUUGGGGUUUUGAGACAUGCGGUCUUUUAACCAAUCCCUCAUGGCAAAAAAAGUAUGGCAUCUUAUUGAUACCCCUAACAGUUUAUGUGCUCAUUUGUUGAAUGCGGAAUACUACCCUAAUGGUAGUUUGUUCGACAAUGUUUUCAUUGGCAAUUCUUUCGAAGUUUGGAAAUGUGUAGUAUAUGGUUUAGAGCUUUUGAAGAAUGGGAUCUGGAGGGUUGGGGAUGGUGCAGACAUCAAGACCUGGAAAGAUCCUUGGAUCCCUCGAGGGCCAUCUUUCCGCCCCAUUACCCCUAAGGGAAAUUGCCGGCUGAACCGAAUUUCGUAUUUCUUGCACAGUAAUGUGCACCAUAAGGCGGCACAAACAGAAAAAUGUUUUUGGCUGAUAGACAUGGUGCAAAUCUUGAAGAUUCGAACCUUCCCACGACAUCGUCGGUAUUUCACUGCCUGGCAGUCGAAAUGAAAUGGGAUGUUCUCUGUUAAGAGCGCCUAUGGGCUUGCUAUGAAUGAUCAUGAAGAAGCUUUUGCAUGCAACGCAACUAGUACUAAUCCUGAUGGUGAACGUCCAAUGUGGGAGUUGAUUUGGCAGACUGAAGUCCCACAAGAAAUGAAAAUAAUUGCGUGGAAGGCAGCAACUAGUGCCCUAACAACGACGUAA